rnacentral:ncRNA from 2 species
ACUGGUUCGCCCUGUCCGCCAGGCAGGCGCGUCGUAAGAGGGAACCCGGUGGAAGUCCGGGACUGCCCCGCAGCGGUGAGUGGGAACGACCGCCGUCAUACGCACUGGGCCCGGCCGGGUCUGGGAAGCGACGGCCAGUAGAUGUCCGCCCUUGGUGGAUGUGCCCGCGAGUCCGAAGACCUGCCAGU